AUCCAACUGACGAGUCCUAAAAAGGACGAAACGCGCAUCCUGGAU
rnacentral:hammerhead_ribozyme from 1 species